rnacentral:rRNA from 1 species
GAAAGUAAUAAAGGGCGUAUGGGGGAUGCCUAGGCUCUUGGAGGCGACGAAAGACGUGGUAAGCUGCGAUAAGCCUCGGGGAUUUGCAAACGAGAAUUGAUCCGAGGAUUUCUGAAUGGGACAACCCGGCAGGCAGAAGGCCUGUCACACGAAAGUGGGCCAACCCUCUGAACUGAAACAUCUUAGUAGGAGGAGGAAAAGAAAGAAACAUCGAUUUCCUAAGUAGCGGCGAGCGAACGGGAAGAAGCCUAAACCAUACUUGUUACGGCAAUUAUGGGGUUGUAGGACUGCAAUAUUCAAGUGACUGUCAACUGGAAUGUUCUGGAAAGUUCAUCCGCAGAGAGUGAAAGACUCGUACAGGUAAGCACGUUAUGCGAUAGCAGUAUCCUGAGUAGGGCGGGACACGAGGAAUCCUGUCUGAAUCUGCCGGGACCACCCGGUAAGGCUAAAUACUCCCAAGAGACCGAUAGUGAACCAGUACCGUGAGGGAAAGGUGAAAAGAACCCCGAACAGGGGAGUGAAAUAGAACCUGAAACCAUACGCUUACAACCUGUCGGAGCAGCUUCGUGCUGUGACGGCGUGCCUAUUGAAUAAUGAGCCUACGAGUUACUAAUCACUGGCGAGGUUAAGUGCACGGAUGCACGGAGCCGAAGCGAAAGCGAGUCUUAAUAGGGCGUUUAGUCAGUGGUUGUAGACGCGAAACCUUGCGAUCUACCCUUGAGCAGGUUGAAGGUUGGGUAAAACCAACUGGAGGACCGAACGAAUAAGCGUUGAAAAGCUUCUCGAUGACUUGAGGGUAGGGGUGAAAGGCUAAUCAAGCUGGGAAAUAGCUCGUACUCCCCGAAAUGCCUUUUGGGGCAGCGUUGUAAUAAAGAGUCUACUGGAGGUAGAGCUACUGAUUGGAUGCGGGGGCUUCACCGCCUACCAAAUCCUGACAAACUCCGAAUGCCAGUAGUAUGAUUUACAGCAGUGAGUGACUGGGUGCUAAUGUCCAGUCGCAAAAGAGGAACAACUCAGACCAGCAACUAAGGUCCCGAAGAAUAUGCUAAGUUGAUCUAACGAUGUUUUGUUGCAGAGACAGCUAGGAUGUUAGCUUGGAAGCAGCUAUUCAUUCAAAGAGUGCGUAACAGCUCACUAGUCGAGCGACAGAGCGUGGAUAAUAAACGGGCAUCAAGCAUAUCACCGAAGUUCUGGGCGCGAGAGCGCGGUAGGGGAGCAUUCCAUUCAGCGUCGAAGCAGUUUCGUGAGGAAUUGUGGAGCGUAUGGAAAAGCAAAUGUAGGCAUGAGUAACGAUAAUGCGGGAGAGUAACCCGCACACCGCAAGACCAAGGUUUCCUGAUCAACGCUAAUCGGAUCAGGGUUAGUCGGGUCCUAAGGGUAAGCCGAACGGCGAUCUCGAUGGAUAAUCGGUUAAUAUUCCGAUACUAACAUAUACCUCGAUGGAGAGACGAAGGAACGUAAGUGCCGCCACCUGACGGAAUAGGUGGUUAAAGGGCGUAGAUAUAGGGGCAGAUUAAGAGUUAGUCCUUGCUGAAACCUGACAGUACAGAGAGCCUACGGGCAAUUUGAUAGUGCACCCAAGUCGACUUCCGAGAAAAUCUUCUAAGUUAUAGUAUAUGUUACCCGUACCGUAAACCGACACAGGUGGUCGAGGAGAGUAUCCUAAGGUGCUCGAGUGAAUCACGGUUAAGGAACUAGGCAAAUUAACCCCGUAACUUCGGGAAAAGGGGUCCCUAUGAAAGUAGGGCGCAGCGAAGAGGUCCAGGCGACUGUUUAUCAAAAACACAGGGCUCUGCAAAUUCGAAAGAAGACGUAUAGGGCCUGACACCUGCCCGGUGCUGGAAGGUUAAGAGGGGAUGUCAUCGCAAGAGAAGCAUUGAAUCGAAGCCCCAGUAAACGGCGGCCGUAACUAUAACGGUCCUAAGGUAGCGAAAUUCCUUGUCGGGUAAGUUCCGACCUGCACGAAUGG